GACGAACGCUGGCGGCGUGCUUAACACAUGCAAGUCGAACGGGAUUUAGUAGACAGAAGCUUCGGUGGAAGAUUACUAAUGAGAGUGGCGAACGGGUGAGUAACGCGUGAGCAACCUGCCUAUGACAGUGGGAUAGCCUCGGGAAACCGGGAUUAAUACCGCAUAAAAUCGUAGAAACACAUGUUUCAACGGUCAAAGAUUUAUCGGUCAUAGAUGGGCUCGCGUCUGAUUAGCUAGUUGGUGAGAUAACAGCCCACCAAGGCGACGAUCAGUAGCCGGUCUGAGAGGAUGAACGGCCACAUUGGAACUGAGACACGGUCCAAACUCCUACGGGAGGCAGCAGUGGGGAAUAUUGCACAAUGGGGGAAACCCUGAUGCAGCGACGCCGCGUGAACGAAGAAGGUAUUCGUAUCGUAAAGUUCUGUCCUAUGGGAAGAUAAUGACAGUACCAUAGAAGAAAGCUCCGGCUAAAUACGUGCCAGCCGCCGCGGUAA
rnacentral:rRNA from 2 species